UACGGAGGAUCCAAGCGUUAUCCGGAAUCAUUGGGUUUAAAGGGUGCGUAGGCGGCUUGUCAAGUAGGGUGUGAAAGCCCCCGGCUUAACCGGGGAAUUGCGCCCUAAACUGACGAGCUGGAGUGGGACAGGGGUGUGUGGAACUUCCGGUGGAGCGGUGAAAUGUGUUGAUAUCGGAAGGAACGCCGGUGGCGAAAGCGACACACUGGGUCUCAACUGACGCUGAGGCACGAAAGCCAGGGGAUCGAACGGG
rnacentral:rRNA from 1 species